CACCUUUGACAUGUACGGAAUCCUUUAGAGAUAGAGGAGUGCUCGAAAGAGAACCGUAACACAGGUGCUGCAUGGCUGUCGUCAGCUCGUGUCGUGAGAUGUUGGGUUAAGUCCCGCAACGAGCGCAACCCUUGCCAUUAGUUGCUACGAAAGGGCACUCUAAUGGGACUGCCGGUGACAAACCGGAGGAAGGUGGGGAUGACGUCAAGUCCUCAUGGCCCUUAUAGGUGGGGCUACACACGUCAUACAAUGGCUGGUACAGAGGGUUGCCAACCCGCGAGGGGGAGCUAAUCCCAUAAAGCCAGUCGUAGUCCGGAUCGCAGUCUGCAACUCGACUGCGUGAAGUCGGAAUCGCUAGUAAUCGCGGAUCAGAAUGUCGCGGUGAAUACGUUCCCGGGUCUU
rnacentral:rRNA from 1 species